CGGGCCCGGGCCUCGCCCUCAGGGAGCCGUCCGCGCUCUAAGUCCCGGAGGCCCAGAAAGACCUGGUCGUGCUGCGCACCGGAGAAGCAUCCCGGGCGUCGAACCGCCCCGAGACUCGGCCGACAAAAGGUUGGAUCGAGGGCUGUUUUUCAAUAGAUCGCAGCGACGGAGCUGCUCUGCUACGCAUGAAACCCUGACCCAGAAUCAGGUCAUCUGCAA